rnacentral:rRNA from 1 species
CGGGAAAUAUUUCAUUGAGACUUCGGUGGAUUUGAUCUAUUUCUAGUGGCGGACGGGUGAGUAACGCGUGGGUAACCUGCCUUAUACAGGGGGAUAACAGUCAGAAAUGGCUGCUAAUACCGCAUAAGCGCACAGAGCUGCAUGGCUCAGUGUGAAAAACUCCGGUGGUAUAAGAUGGACCCGCGUUGGAUUAGCUAGUUGGUGGGGUAACGGCCCACCAAGGCGACGAUCCAUAGCCGGCCUGAGAGGGUGAACGGCCACAUUGGGACUGAGACACGGCCCAGACUCCUACGGGAGGCAGCAGUGGGGAAUAUUGCACAAUGGGGGAAACCCUGAUGCAGCGACGCCCGCGUGAAGGAAGAAGUAUCUCGGUAUGUAAACUUCUAUCAGCAGGGAAGAUAGUGACGGUACCUGACUAAGAAGCCCCGGCUAACUACGUGCCAGCAGCCGCGGUAAUACGUAGGGGGCAAGCGUUAUCCGGAUUUACUGGGUGUAAAGGGAGCGUAGACGGUGUGGCAAGUCUGAUGUGAAAGGCAUGGGCUCAACCUGUGGACUGCAUUGGAAACUGUCAUACUUGAGUGCCGGAGGGGUAAGCGGAAUUCCUAGUGUAGCGGUGAAAUGCGUAGAUAUUAGGAGGAACACCAGUGGCGAAGGCGGCUUACUGGACGGUAACUGGACGUUGAGGCUCGAAAAGCGUGGGGAGCAAACAGGAUUAGAUACCCUG